UGUGAGUGGACAGCAACUUUGUUAGUAGCUAGAGCCCUCUGUGUCAGCCAACUCAAGGUAAUAAACAGAGUUUCUUGCUCUGCAAACUGUGUGGAGACCUUACCUGAUGAGUAGACAAUGUGCAUCCACUCAGGUAUAGCAGGGCCUAUGCGGGGAAAGCAUCCCUGCUGGUAGCCCCAUGGCACGGUGGGAAAAUCUCCACCCUGGGCUUCCGGAGACCAGAGUUCCAGUGCUAGCUGCACAGUACAUAGGUCUAUUGUGUGACCUUGAACAAACCCUACAUAAGACAGAUUUGAUCACAUCUGCUGCCUCCCAUCCCCGUAUGUACAGCUAGCUUUUAUUACAAUGUAUCAACGGCUGGAAUAAAGAACUAAAAAGCAGGCCCAUCAAGUUUGUGAAUGCUACAAAGCUGGAGAGUGUAGCUAAUAAUGACAAAGGACAGAUCAAGUUUCUAGGAGAUCUUGAGACUGGUUGGAAAAUGGGGAUGAAACCUCUAAGGAAGGCUUUGGGAAAGCUAAAGGCACAAGUUUGGACUGGAGAAGAUUCGGGAGUUUUUGUUGGCUGGAGACUCACUGCGACUGGGGUUGACAAAGAAGUUAGCGCAACCAUGGGCUCUCCUGACAGAGGUGUAGAAGAAGUCGCCUUGGGCUUGCCUGCAUGGCCACAUGAACACUGGGCUCCAUAAGAAGGUUAUUUAAGAGGGUCACUGACAAACUGGAGGCAGGGUCGUUGACGUACCAAAGACUUCAAGGUGGGGAAGAAAUUCAGAGGCAACUCCUGAAAAGGCUCACCCUUGAGUGUGAGUCUGUUCUAGGUAAGUCAAGUGAACUGAAGCUUUGUGAGCUUCGAUUUAUUGGGGUAUCCUUUUUUUGAAGGGAGCUGUUGAUUUAAGGGUUGAGGUUUUUCUCUUUCCUUUCUCUUUUUAGAAGUUCUUGGGUUACCUAAUUCAUCAGCUGAGCCAAUCGGGAGGAAAGGAAUUUAUCUUACAAACAGAACUACUUAGAUGCCUGAGUCAUGAACUCUGCAUCAGUAAAAACAAUUGGCAAAAUGAAGCUGGCUUCUUAGGCUGAGAACCUUGUGGAAAUGAAGCCUGAAGCUUCAGAAAUGAAACCAGAGAGGCCUCCAACUGAGGUGCCUUCCUGAAGGGUGUAUUUGCACUUCGGCAGGGAAAUAUCUGUGGCAGACACACCGGUGCUGGUUGUUCCCCGUAACCCACAGUUGGCUUUCAUCUGCACUCCCCCCCCCCAAGCCCCAGUCCAUCCUCUCUUGCUUGAAGAAUUGCUCCUGCCUCUGGCCAAACCACAGGGGUGUGCUCCUGAGACAGACUUCUUUCAAAAGGCCCUGCCCCACCCCUGCGCUGUCGGGUGGGCGGACACACGCCCAUCUACAAACUGGGCUGGCCCAAGCAGAGACUGUCUCCUGGAGGAUGGCGUUAGGCCUGGCCGCUCAGAUGGUCAGUGGCUGACUAGAGGUGGGCAUGAGGCAGAGCCAGGGUUGAAGAAGGCAUUUUCUGAGAUGCGCUUUCAAUCAAAUAAAAACCUCCCACUCAGUGAUAAGAGCUAAGAGGGGCGGCUGAUGUGGAUGUGGGGGCCUGGUGACUCCCUCCUUCCCCUCAACAACUGUGAUUUCCCUGGGAUGGGAUUGCUAAGAGUGAGUUUGUUUUCACAGAAUUUGACCACAACAAGAACCUGGAUGCUCUUGGAAUUUAUUAGACUCUUUGGCACUAAAAGAACAUAUAAGUGGUUUUAAGUUCAAAGUGAUAGUCAUGAGUAGGGCUUAUAAUCUUGAAUUGUGUAGUAUUUGAGACACACCGUUCUCUUACCCUUUUAGAAAAGAGAUACAAGGGGUCCAGGGGCUGUGUUAGUGACUAAUCUCACAGGCUUCCCAAAGGCUUCCUUUCAGAUUUUUAAAGCCUAGACAUGCUUAUAGGGCUGAUGCUUAGUAUUUUGAAUCAAGAACUAAUGGCUUGUUCUUGUUAUUACUUUUGCAAAACUCUAAAACUCAUUCUGAAAUUGAAGGUCUUUCACAAUUUUUAAGACCACAGUGAGUCAAUGAGGAAUUGCCUUUGGCUGUGAGUGACAGAGAUCUGAAAAGCAGAGACGUACAUAAAUGAGAGGCUUUAUUUCUGAUGUUGAAUAAAAGUCUUGGGGCAGCAUCUGGGACUUGGUGUGGUGGCUUCCCAACACCGUGAGAGGCCCAGGUUCCUUCCAGCUUUUCUUCCAUCUGCCAUCCUUAGCAUGUGAUUUCCACCCUCGUGGUCCUCAGAUGGCUGCUAGAACUCCAGCCAUCAGGUUCACAUUGCAAGUGGAAAAAGGGGAAGAGCCAAGAGCAAAGUGUGCAUGCCAGUUAGUGAGCCCCGCCCCUACCCCUUUAAGGAGCAUUCUACUAAGUCCUACCCAAUGGCUUCUAUUUAUGUCUCAUUGGCUAGAUUUGGUUCCGUGAUCGUCUGGCAAAGGACGCUGGAGUAUGGAAAGACUGAGCCAGGCUCAUUGCUGCCUUGGACAAAAUUAGGGUUCAAUUAGUAAGGAAGAAGCGAAGGGGGUGUCAAGUGAUCUGUGCUCUGUGUCUAAAGGAAAUCUAUAAGAAGCAUUCUAUUGCCUUACAUUUUAUAGUCAAAACCUAUUAGAAUUUCAUAUAAAUUCUUCAUUAAGAAAUCACAUUACCUUGUAAAAUCUGACAUGGUUUCCACAGCUGACCUACCAUCACUUCAAACUGAAGACAGACAUUGAACUCCUAAUCACCCCACCCAAACCACCUCCUUCUAAUCUGCCAACGUCCUUGUCUCUACCAGUUGCCCAGACCCAAAGCCUUAAUUUAUUCUUUUUUAGCCUUCAUCCUUCAUGUUCAACCACUCAAAAGUUUUAUCCGCCUGCUAACCAGAGCAUCUCUUAAAUCUAUCUGUUCCUUUCCGCCCCCACUAUCAGCCCCACUGAACAUCCAGUGGGUCAGGCAAUGUGCUAGGCUCUGCAUAUACAAAAGUCAUUAAGGCACGUGGUCUUAUGACUUCAGUCCUGGCUUGUGCACCUACACCAGUCUAAGAGCUGAUCUUGCUGAUUCCACUUCCAGACCUGCCACUCCUGGAACACAGAACCCUUGCUUCAGACACUAUGCUCUUCUUCCUGCCGGGUACAGUCAAAAUCUGUAUUCUUCAGAGGCCUCUGCAGCCUGUAUCCGUUGUGAUUGUGCAGUCUUAGCUUCCCCUGGCCAUGUGGAGUUAGGGUGAAUUCUAGAAAGAUCCCUGUCCAGCCACUUGCUGGCACUGUGACCUUGGGCAAAAUCUUGGGCUCUGAGUGGUGUAUUGGCAAUGGUGAUGGGUAGCCAAGAAGACUUGAGGGGUUUCUCAGAACUAGGAACAGUAAGAAAAUUUGAAAGAGCCUCCUGUUUUAAGAAAGUACUUGACUACUUCUGGAUCAAUUCAGAGAGGCUUCAACAACUCUUGAGAAGAUUAGGGCUAGAGGACUUCGGUGAAACUUUUGUGCUUUGUUCCCUAGAGUGCAAACCCUUGACAAGUGUCACACACAAACAACACUUGGGGUGGAACAAGAGAUUUCCAAUGAUCUGUCUGGGGCCCAUAAUACAAUUCAGCAUCUCUCAAGUGCUUCAGAGUCUAUAAACAUUUUCAAAACAUUUCAUUUAACCUUCUGUAAUUGAAAUGCUUGAAAAAAAACUCCACAUGUUAAGAUUUCUCUAGCAGAAGCAUCACCAGGAACCUCAACAGCUAUUCAAAAGGAUGAAAUCGCUAGACCUGCCACCCUCUAACUCUCCCUCUUUUAUGCAACUCUUUUUAGAGAUAUUGCCUGGAAAGAGGUAAAGGGGACAACAUUGGGCCCAUUUGCAGUUGCAGAAAUUGAGACUCAGAGCGGUGAAGUGACAUUUUCAGAAUCCCAGCAGGAAAUGGUAGAGUUAGGAAGCUAAGUCUGAUCAUCUGCUCUUGUCCUGUUGAGGAGAUAGUGAGAGAAAAGGAAAAUGGUGACAACGGGGGAAUGAAAUCCAUCCCAUCCUGCUGCUACUCCUUCCCCAACUCUUGCUAAGACUUCAGAGUAACGGGAAGAAGAGGACACAUAAGUGGUGACAUGCUAGGGUUGGAAGAGCUGCGUGCAUGUCUUGGAGAGGAGGCGGGCAAAGCACGUGACAGCGUGAAGAGAGUGGGUCGCAGUCUCAGAAACAGGAUCAUGGAAAUGGCCUUGGAGGACCAGAGCAGGAAGACUAUGAUCUUCCAAGUAACUCUAGGCAACAUGGGUGUAGAGACUGGAUUUGGCCAGGGAAGUGGACAUUUGUUUCAGUUUCCAGCAUCCAGCAUUCAUUUGCUUUCAGUUGUCCAGCAUUCAUUUACUUUUCUUCUGAUAACCACAUCCUAACUUCCUGCUUGGGAACUACCACGGAUCCUAUUCUCAAUCUAUGGGUUUCUGGCGAGCUGAAUCUACUUCUGGACCAGGAAUCAAGAACCUGACCUGGGCUCAAGCUAAUCACUCUGUCAAAUUUCUCUAGGCAAAGUGAUUGGUUUAGGAAUAGGCAGCGACCCAAUUAGAGCCAAUGAGAUUUUCCCAGGUGUUUUGGAACAAAGACAUUCAUUUUCUGCUGGAUGCAGACCUGGAAGGGUAUAGUUCUGGGAGUUGCUGACAGCCAUUUUAUGAUCAUGAGUCUAUUUAAGAGUGGCUUGAACAUUCAACAUGAAGUGGAGCAGAGAGAUGGAAAUAAAGCUGGAUCCUGAUGAACUUCAUUUGAAAUCUUGUAUACAAUGAUCUUCCUGCUGAAAUUUUCAGUUAGGUGAGCCAAUAAAAUUUUUUUUGUUUAGCUCAAUUUGGGUCACGUCUUCUCCCAGUGGCAGUCAAAUGGAUCCUGUUUCAUAAAGUAAGAUUUUAACUUUACAUAAACUGUCUGCAGAGUAAAUGUUUGUCAGAUACUUUUCGUAUAACGGCACUUCUUUUUUUGUAGAAUUAUGUUAGGAAACUUUGUAGAGGGCUUCUGCUUCUGGCUACAGACUACCCUCCUGUCAAGAACAACCAUAAAAGCUGUCUUUAAAAAUACAGCUGUUUGACAGUAUGAAGAAAUGUCAAGGCUGGCAGGACUGGAGGGAGUUGGGUCUCUGAGAGAAUGAAAUACAAUUCCAAUCGAAAGUCCAGAUUUUUGUGGAAAUUGACAAAUUAAUUUUAAAAUUUGUAUGGAAGCACAAAAGAACAAAAAGAGCAAAGACUAUCUUGAAGAAGAAAAAAACAUUAUCUUAACACUACCAAAUGUGAAGACUCGUUACAAAGCUACAGCAAUUAAAACAGUAUGGUACUGUCUCAAGUGUAGAAAACAGACAAAUAGAACAAAGGAAGAGUCCAGGAGUAGAGAGUCAUUUGAUUUCCAACAAAGGUGCCUCUGCAGUGCAGUGGGGAAAAGAUAGUCUUUUCAGUAACCCAUGUCCUAGGUCAAUUGAGGACAUGUUUGAGAAGAAGUGAGCAUUGCCCCCUGCCUCACACUAUACACAAAAAUCACUUUCAGAUGAAUUACAGACUUCAAUGUGAAAGAGAAACAGUGAAGCUUCUAGAAGAUAAUCUAAAUAUCUUCAUCACCUUGGAGUAGGCACUCAUGUCUUAAGCAGGCCAGAAAACACACUAUCUUCAAGAAAAAUAUUGAAGAAUUCAAUUCCUUAUAUUGAAAAAUCAGCCACUUGACUGAAUUGGACUUGAUUAAAAAUAAAAGCUUGUAUUUGUUAAAAGAAACCAUUAAAUAAAUGGAAAUACAAGUAAUGGUGUGGAACAAGACAUUUGCUAUGUAUAUACAAACAUCCUACUAUGGACUUGUAUCCAGACUACAUAAAGACUUUCUAUAUGUCCAUAAGAAGAUCACAGAGAGCUCUUUCUUUUUCAAAGGAGGGUGCCAAAGACUUAAACUUCCUUUACAAAAGAAGUGAUAGACGUCACAGUGGUAACCUUUGCAGAUGGCGUUGACUGAGGCAGGGGCAUGAGAAAGCUUGGUGUGCUGAAAAUGUCCUACAUCUUGUUCUAGGCGGUAGCUUGGGUACGUACCUUAUGUAAAAAUUCACUGAUCUGUACACUUAAGUUUUGUGCACUUUAUUGUGUGUAUAUUAUUAUUCAAUAACAAGAUUUUCAAAAAUAAAAAAGGCAAGUAUCUAUAGUGAAGAAGGCUUAUAAAUGGAGCAGUCAGAACUGUUCAGUGGGGUCUAAUUUAUCUACCUAUGCAGGUGAGGAGCCAAUGUUAAAUGAAGCUGGCUAGCCUGUAAUCUAACCUGGCCCUUCUGUUGGAAGAGCAUGUUUCAGUUCAAUUUGGGACAAUAGUUUAGUGAGCAUCUGCAAUGUGCUCUGCUACUAUGAUGGGUGCUAGGGAUACUAAAAUGACUAAGUUGCAGUUUAUGCCUUAAAGAACUUAUCGUCUAGCAGGGAGACAAGCUACUAAAUGGAUAAUUAUGAUUGGUAUGAGGAGGGUGAUGAUAAGGGUCCCAUAGGAGCACAGAUUUGGGGUGUCUAACCCACUCUGGUAUGUGAUAGACUGUGAUAGAUCACACCAGUCAUUGCUAAACUCCUUCUCAUUUGCUCUCUUCUACUACAGAGGCUAAGAAAUUCUCAAUAUUCACUUUUUCUAUGUCCCUUGCAGUUGGGGUGGCCAACUGACAUAGCUGUGCCCAGUGAGAUAUAAAAAGAAGUCCACUGUGGAGUUUUUGGUAUAGUUUUUGCUUUCCCCUCUUUUAUUCCUGCCUUGAACAUAGAUGUGAUGUCAGAAGCCAUCUUGACACUAUGAGGCCACACAAUUAAAGAAGAAUACUAACCUUCAGGGACGACAGAAUGAAAGAUGGAAGGAUUCUGGGUCUCUGAUGUCAUCACUGAGAGGCUAAACCAACACCAGCAACUGCCUACCUUCUCACCUCUUGGAUAAGAAAAAUAACCCCCAACUUGUUUAAAUUGCAGUCAGCCAGGUUUCUGUUGCUUGCAGCUGAUGAACACAUUUAUAACUGAGUAUAAGGCAGAUGAGCAGGUAUUCAGGAAAGGCUUCCCCAAGAGUCCUGUCUAAGCUGAGCCGUGCAGGAUGAAUGGGUGUAACCCGGGGGAGUGGUAGUGCCAGAGGGAAGGUUCUCCAAGCAGGGGAGAGGCACAAAAAGAGAUGAAAGAGGACAGGAUACUAGCAGAGAAUUACAAAAGUUUAGUUUGGCUAAAGCAUUCGAUGGGAAUUGGGGAAAGCUGAAGCUGAAGCAAUAGCCAAAGGUCAACUUAUAAAGACUAUCGUAAACCCCAUAAAAGCAGCUGGACUUGAGCCGGCCCUGAUGGCCUAUCAGUUAAGGUUCGGUGCUCUCCCCACUUCAGUGUUCUGGGUUUGCUUCCCAGUCGUGGAGCCACACCACCUGUCUGUCAGUUGCCAGGCUGCAGCUGCAGCUCACAUAGAAGAACUAGAAGGACUUAUAACUGGGAUAUACACCCACACUGGAGCUUUGGGAAGAAAAAAAAAGGAAGUUGGACUCUAUCUUAAACUUCAGUAGGGAACGACCAAAGGCUUAUAAUCAAAGAGGACGAUAUGAUAAGAUUUGUCUUUUAGAAAGAUUAUUCUGGAGCAUGGAGAGUGGUUCAGAGAGAGCAAGCCCAUAGGGACGGCAGUUAGAAACCUAGUUCAGUAAUACAGUUGAGAGAUGACAGUACUUACUAGGAGCCAGUUGUCAUUUUAAAUGCUAUACCUGUAUGAUGGCAAAGGGGAUGGGAACAAUUGGAUUACUUUGAGAGCUAUUAAGGAGAUAAAAUACGGAAUAUCUGAUGACUGGCUAGACAAAAGGAGCAAGGGAGAAGGAGAAGUCAGAAUAACUUGGUGUUUGUGACGUGGUUAUGAGUGAAUGGUGACACCUUUCACUGAAUUUAGGGACAUGGUAGGUAGUGAAGCGUGUUUCGGUGGAGGAGGUAAAGUAAUGGAUUAGGUUUUGGACACAUUGAUUUUGAACUGUGACUGGGACCUCUAACUGGAGAUGUCGGUCCAGGGAUAAAGAAAGAAAUCAAAGCAGAGUUAUAGAUUUGGGAGUUACCAGGUGCCUGGGACAGGCACCUCCUCAGAUUCUCUUGGCACCACUGCCUGUUGGACCCUCAACCACUUGUUCUUCUCCAAAUGGGGUCAUUGCCAGUUGACUGAAUCUGCUUGCACUUGUGCAAUUGUGCCAGGCCCUCCUCCUCAGCUGCCACCAUACAAUCAUGCCAAAAGGCAACAUACUGUAGAUUGUGGCUCCUCCAAUCACUUCCAGACUUGGGAGAAAUGGCUCACGAAAGCUCAUGGGUCCUGGCAUUCCAAAUGGCCACCAAAGAUGCCAAGUGAUGCAAUCUGAAAAUGCAAGGGAGGUAACUCCCCAAGGAGUAAAUGUUGACCAAGGGAUGAUAGGAGACCGGAGGAAAUUCCUCUGUCUUAUGAACUGAUACAAGGCAUAGUGUGUCCAUAUAACCUGUUUGGAAACAUCCAUGUGGUCAAGUAGACAUACUCACUAAUAACCUGUGUGUCUUGUCACAAUUCAUUGUGAAGCAGUUGACUAGUGUGGUAAUGUAUUUGUUUCACAUUCUUCCCUCCCUCGAUUCCCAAAUAGAGUAUUGGCACUUAAUCCCUGCCUCAGGCUCUGUUUUUGAAGAAAUCUGAUCAAAGUUAGCAGUUGAUUGGUAAUAGUUGAAGCCACAGCCAACAAUGAAUGAGCAGAAUAUGAAGAGAGGUGAGCCUCACAAGAGCUAUAACGAAUACCAGCAGGUAAGGUAUGAGGGAGAAAGAGAAACCAAAGAAGAAGACCAACAUAGAGAAGUCAAAGACACAGGAGGAGCCCUUCUUCAGGGGGCAAUAACUGAAUCUCAGUGGAUGUAAUUAACAAAGUCUAAGGACAUGGGUCACAGAUCUUGUAAAUGGCAUGAGGGAAAGCAGAAACAAAUUGCCCCAUGCUUGUCUUGUGUAUUUUUUUUCAUUGUUAUAUAUCUACUCUUUGAUUAUUUAACUUAAUAUACAAAAAACAUAAAUCUUUGUCUCAAAUAGAUAUUACUGUAACACCCCACCAGCUUGAGGAUCUUCAUUAAAGUGGAUCACAUUAAUAGUGUGUUUUGAUGUCCCUAGAAUCAAUAGCCCCCAUCAACCAAAUGGCAAAGUCCCUCCUUCCCCUGUAUGGCUCUAAGAGCCCUAAAGACAGGAGAGGAGUGGAUCACAUAAAAUUUCUGCCACUGUCAGAAUCACAACCAGCCCUCUGCACCAGCUGCAGCCUUCACUUUCCUUCAUAGCCACUGUUUCCAUCCUUUUUCUUGGCCUAUUGAUGCCACCUGCCCCAUCUCCCCCCAUGCCUCGUUGAUUCUUCCCUGUCUAUCCUCUGGGGGUGUCUGCUGCCAGCACCUGGAACCCCGGCACUGGCUGCCUCCAGAUCUCCAGUACUUUAGUCUACCUGUCAUUUUGGUGUCUACUGCAGAAAAUGACCCAUGGUGAGUUCUUGAUAAAUGCCCAUUAAAUGAAGUAUCGAGUGGAGGAAACAAAGUGAUAAUAAUGGAUGGGAGGUUGGUGUGGGUGCGGCAUAGGCAGCACUCAUGGGACCAGGGAGAGAGAAAAGACCGUUUUCUUCUAUAGUAAAUUUUAGCCAAUGAUACACAAUCCUAUGUCAAGGAAGAAAGAAGCCACGGCAGGUUUGAGGAAAAGGCUAAUGUGAGUGAAGCCAGGGAGACUCUGAAAGUUGAUGAGGAGGCAAGUUAUACUCUUGUGAUGACUUUGGCCUUUUAUCUUGUAUAACUUCAUUCAAAAUCUCUGUCCCUCUGUUUUGUAGAUAUUUUGAGAAUUGGAACAAUCUUAUAUUUGUUAUUAGUCAACAACCAGUAUAUCUCACUUUUUCAAUUUUGGAGUUCUGCCUUCCUCAGGGGAUGAGAAAGCUGUAAUAGUUAAAACAGUGUGAUACUGGUGAAUCAAUAAAUAAUAGAGCAAUAAAAAGUUCUGGGUUGAAAGUCCAGGAAUAAACCCAAAAAUCUAUGGAUAUAGAACAUGAGAAAGGCGAUUUUCAAAUUAUUAUGUAUAAAAAAUUAUUGUAUAAAAAUCAAUUAUUCUGUAAGUGGUAUUGGAACAAAUUGGCAGCCAUCUGGAAACAGUAGAGUAGCAUCCUAUAUUAGCUAUGUCAAGUCAUGCUCACUGCUAUAACAAAUAAACCCAAAGUUCUCAGUGACCUAACACAAUUAAGGUUUAUUCUUGUGUACGUUAAGUACACUUGUCUGUUGCUGGUUGUACAAUCUUCCAUGUGGUCAUUCAGGGACACAAGCUCUGUUCAUCCGGAUAUUCCCUAGCAUUGUGCUGUCCAAUAUGUUGGCCACUAGCUCCAUAUGGCUAUUGAGCCCUUGGAAUGUGGCCAGUGCAAAGUGAGAUGUGCCAUUAGUAUAAAAUAUGCAUCAGAUUUCAAAGACAUAGUAUGAAGAAAAAAAUGUAAAAUAUUUCAUUAAUACAUUUCAUGGUGAUUACUUGUCGAAAUGAUAAUAUUUUAGAUAUAUUGGGUUAAAUAAAAUAUAUUAUUACAAUUAAUUUCACCUACUUUUUAAUUUUUCUUAACAUGACUACUAGGAAAUGUAGAAUGACACGUCUUGCUUUUAUGGCUCACAUUUAUUUCUUUUGGACGGCAUUGCUCUAGAUCACCCGAAUAUUCUCCAUGGUGAAUAGACAUGGCAGAUAGGGAAAGAGAGAGGAAGGGAGGGUCACAUUACUUUCCUUCACAUUCCAUUGGCCAGAACUCAGUUAUAUGUCCACACCUACCUGCAAGGGAAGAGGGAAAACGUAGUUUAGCUGUGUGCCCAAGACAAAGGGGAAAUGGAUUUUAUUAACAGCUAGUUAGACUCUUCCACAAAUUCCUAAUUCAUGCCUUACACCAACAUUAAUUAUAGAGGAAUGAAAGAGUAAGAUGUUAAAAGGAAAGGAAAGAAGGAAGGAAGAAAGGAAGGAAGAAGAAAA